GCUCUUAAUGGAAAAAUAGCCUUCCACUGGUUUUAGGAACCAGCCCUUCCCGGUGCAAGUCCGAGUAGGAGCU
rnacentral:tRNA from 1 species